rnacentral:rRNA from 1 species
CCUACGGGAGGCAGCAGUAAGGAAUAUUGGUCAAUGGAGGCAACUCUGAACCAGCCAUGCCGCGUGCAGGAAGACAGCCCUAUGGGUCGUAAACUGCUUUUAUACGGGAAUAAACUUUGAUUCGUGAAUCAAGCUGAAUGUACCGUAAGAAUAAGGAUCGGCUAACUCCGUGCCAGCAGCCGCGGUAAUACGGAGGAUCCAAGCGUUAUCCGGAUUUAUUGGGUUUAAAGGGAGCGUAGGCGGCCUAUUAAGUCAGGGGUGAAAGACGGUGGCUCAACCAUCGCAGUGCCUUUGAUACUGAUGGGCUUGAAUAUAGUUGAGGUAGGCGGAAUGUGACAAGUAGCGGUGAAAUGCAUAGAUAUGUCACAGAACACCGAUUGCGAAGGCAGCUUACUAAGCUAUGAUUGACGCUGAGGCUCGAAAGCGCGGGGAUCAAACAGGAUUAGAUACCCUGGUAGUCCACGCCCUAAACGAUGAUAACUCGAUGUUGGCGAUAUACAGUCAGCGUCCAAGCGAAAGCGUUAAAGUUAUCCACCUGGGGAGUACGCCCGCAAGGGUGAAACUCAAAAGAUAGUAGGACGNGAGAGAGCGACGACGGACGACGAGGAGGGAGGAG